rnacentral:lncRNA from 10 species
CAUGUAGCCACCUUAUCCUGCACAGGUCUGUGGCAGGCCGUGAGACGGUGACCAGAGAAGCAGUCAGCACUCACGGCCCCUGCCCUUUCAGAGUUUACGCUUGCUUGGAAGCCUCCAGAAUGGGGAUAAGCACAAGACAUUUAUGCUGGGCUUCAUCCAGGAAGCUCUGGUGGAAGGAAGAGAAAGCAGCCCACACAGCAAGGUUCAGGAGAAGAUUCCCAUGAAGGACAACUGGGGUUCAGCCCCAUCCAGCAGAUGACACGGAGCCGGCCUCGGAGGUGUCCUCACCGUGGGACACUGGCAUCUGAGCUACCUCAGGGCGUAGCCGGCCGAUGUUCCCAGCCUCCCCCUGGGCACAGCCAGCCCAGGCCAAGUGGUCUAGCCCCGGCCCCCACUCAGCAUGGCCCAAAAAAGGAGCAAAAAGCAGAAAGCUCAAGGACCCUCAGAAUCAAGUUUUGCAGAAAGACACAAAGCUCAAGAACAGAGGUGCAACUAAGGGAACACACCCUGUAAGACUGCCUCCCAGACACACCACUGCAGCCAGUGAAUUGCACUGUUUAGACUUUGACUUCAGGGUCAGGGUGAGCUGAUGAGACUGGCCCCUUGAUGAAGUAAGAGGCCACCAAGGAGUGAGAGCGGCUGAGUUUGAGCCCUGCCUCUGCCGUCUGCAACUCUCUCAUCUUGAGCAGGUCCAGCCCCAGUGUGGGCCUCAGAUCUCCCAUCCUUGAGAUGAGAGAAUUCAAAUCCAGCUCCACCUCUGCAGCCCACGCCCUUCCCCUGCACUGCAUGGCAUCCGAUAGGCUUGAAGAAGGCGUGAAUGACAUUCAAAGGGCCACAUCAUCUAAGUCGCACUCCUCUCCCAUCCCAUCCCUUGUUGUCCUUUACAUGAUUCCCAUUCAUCUUUCUUCUCUUGGGCCCAGGGGUGUGCUGGUGAAUGUUUAACAGCCACUCCAUGAAAAAAUAAAACGGUCUUGAUUGAUGGCA